CCUACGGGAGGCAGCAGUGGGGAAUUUUGGACAAUGGGCGCAAGCCUGAUCCAGCAAUGCCGCGUGAGUGAAGAAGGCCUUCGGGUUGUAAAGCUCUUUUGUCAGGGAAGAAACGGUGGGAGCUAAUAUCUCCUGCUAAUGACGGUACCUGAAGAAUAAGCACCGGCUAACUACGUGCCAGCAGCCGCGGUAAUACGUAGGGUGCAAGCGUUAAUCGGAAUUACUGGGCGUAAAGCGUGCGCAGGCGGUUUUGUAAGACUGUCGUGAAAUCCCCGGGCUCAACCUGGGAAUGGCGAUGGUGACUGCAAGGCUAGAGUUUGGCAGAGGGGGGUAGAAUUCCACGUGUAGCAGUGAAAUGCGUAGAUAUGUGGAGGAACACCGAUGGCGAAGGCAGCCCCCUGGGUCAAAACUGACGCUCAUGCACGAAAGCGUGGGGAGCAAACAGGAUUAGAUACCCUGGUAGUCCACGCCCUAAACGAUGUCUGCUAGUUGUCGGGUCUUAAUUGACUUGGUAACGCAGCUAACGCGUGAAGUAGACCGCCUGGGGAGUACGGUCGCAAGAUUAAAACUCAAAUGAAUUGACGG
rnacentral:rRNA from 1 species